UUUGACUUUCACAUCUGUAGCCCUGGGAAGAUACAUGAAAUUCUGUAGUGGCUACUUCUGGUUGUCAAAAUAUUCAUUUAUUCAUUCGAGGUGUUCAUUGGAGUGAUGGAUGUAAUGCCUUUGCGUCCUGGUCUUACUUGGACUCCAUUUUCUGUCUACUCAGGCAUGCUUCCAGCCUGAGUCCCCCAGGUCCCCAUAACUGCAUCCAUGUUGGUAGCACAUUGAAGGUUUCCAUGACCCUGAAGACACUAUCCAGAAGCCCAGGUGUGCUUUCCUCGGCAUUCUGACUUCUUCAGUUUCUGUGAAGACUUCCCUGCUGCCCACCCCUUUCCUCCCUCGGAUGCUAUCCUCUAUCCACGACUAGAAAACAUGACUCUCUGUCUUCCUAACUCCGGGGAGAUGCUAGGGUUCUCUGUUUACCUGCCCUGUUCUUUUUCUCUCAACCUCUAAUAAAAAGGUUCUUAAACGUC